ACUUAUCAAAGUGUCAUGGCGUUGCCUGUGAAGUGUGACGUCACGUUCGAGUAAUCGAGAUGUAAACACUAUACGUAGUUAUUUAGUGAGAAGAAAAAUGAAUUCCAAAACGUACAGGUGGUGUGCGGUCCCUCAAUGUACUAACACAUCCAUAAAAACACCUAAUAAGUUAUUUAUUUUCGUUCCAUACAAUAAAACGACACGAUAUAAGUGGCUUAAACUUGCAAAGCGUGAUUUAAAAGGAAUAUUGCCCCGUACUCAGCUUUAUUUUUGUGAAGAUCACUUUGACUUGCCAAAUGACAUGGAAAAUUAUAUGCAAUAUAAUUUGAUGGGAUCGGUGUCGCAGAUCCGCAUGAAACCGGGGUGCAUUCCCUCAAAAUAUUACUGUCAACCCGAUAGAAGAAAACGAACAGCCGAUAUAACCGAACCAGAAUAUGUUGUCAAAAAACAAAGAAAAAUGUUAAUUGAGGAAUAUGAAAAAGAACUAGUAGAAAGAACAAUUAUUGCUACAGAAAACUUGGAACUUGGAGAGUCUUCAUCCGGAAAUGCAGAAUGCUUCAAGAACAUUAUUUAGUAUUCAUGAAGAAUCUGACAGUGAUAUUUCUUAUACACCAUCUGUGAUGCAUAAAGAAUCAUCACCAUCAACAGCACCUUUGCAAAUCAAGUCUACUUUAGACUGUAGCGAGUUAAUUGACGAAGAUAAAAAACAAGAGGCAUCAAAAAUUUUGGAAUAUACAUUGCUGAAAAUAAAGAAAACUUAUUACAAAAAAA